GUGCUCGCUUUGGCAGUACAUAUACAAAAAUUCGAACGAUACAGAGAAGAUUAGCAUGGCCCCUGCGCAAGGAUGACACUUUUGGGGAAAAAAAAAAACCCCACAAGG
ensembl:snRNA U6 U6 spliceosomal RNA